rnacentral:rRNA from 1 species
UUUAAGACUCUCGGCAACGGAUAUCUCGGCUCUUACAUCGAUGAAGAACGUAGCGGAAUGCGAUACUUGGUGUGAAUUGCAGAAUCCCGUGAACCAUCGAGUCUUUGAACGCAAGUUGCGCCCGAGGCCUUUGGGUCGAGGGCACGCCUGCCUGGGCGUCACGC